UCUCAUGAAUGAUCUAAGAAAGUGAUUUCUUGAGAUGGAAACUACUCCUGGUGAAGAUACUGUGAA
rnacentral:pre_miRNA from 2 species